rnacentral:misc_RNA from 1 species
GAUGAAGAACGUAGCGAAAUGCGAUACGUAAUGUGAAUUGCAGAAUUCAGUGAAUCAUCGAGUCUUUGAACGCACAUUGCGCCCUCUGGUAUUCCGGAGGGCAUGCCUGUCCGAGCGUCAUUGCUGCCCUCAAGCACGGCUUGUGUGUUGGGCUCCGUCCCCCGAUCCCGGGGGACGGGCCCGAAAGGCAGCGGCGGCACCGCGUCCGGUCCUCGAGCGUAUGGGGCUUUGUCACCCGCUCUGUAGGCCCGGCCGGCGCUUGCCGAUCAACCAAAUUUUUAUCCAGGUUGACCUCGGAUCAGGUAGGGAUACCCGCUGAACUUAAGCAUAUCAAUAAGAGGA